rnacentral:tRNA from 1 species
GGAGAGAUGGCUCAGAGGUUAAGAGCACUGACUACUCUUCCAGAUGACCUGGGUUCAAUUCUCAGUAUCCACA